GGGAAUUAGCUCAGCUGGGAGAGCACCUGCCUUGCAAGCAGGAGGUCAUGAUUAGGGUGAAGUCGUAACA
rnacentral:tRNA from 1 species